CCAAUAGCGUAUAUUAAAGUUGUUGCAGUUAAAAAGCUCGUAGUUGAAUUUUGGGAUCAAUGGGUUGGUCAUGCCCUCGGUAUGUACUGAUUUCAUUAGUUCUCACCUUCUAAGGAACCAUGAUGUCAUUCGUUUGAUGUUGUGGGGAAUUAGGACUGUUACCUUGAAAAAAUUAGAGUGUUUAAAACAGGCUAACGCUUGAAUACAUUAGCAUGGAAUAAUGAAAUAGGACAUCCGAUUCUAUUUUGUUGGUUUCUAGGAUCGAUGUAAUGAUUAAUAGGGAUAGUUAGGGGCAUUAGUAUUCAAUUGUCAGAGGUGAAAUUCUUGGAUUUAUUGAAGACUAACUACUGCGAAAGCAUUUGCUAAGGAUGUUUUCAUUAAUCAAGAACGAAAGUUAGGGGAUCAAAGACGAUCAGAUACCAUCGUAAUCUUAACCAUAAACUAUGCCGACUAGGGAUCGGAUGAUGCUUAUUUUUUAAUGACUCAUUUGGCACCUUACG
rnacentral:rRNA from 1 species